AGGGGCGUAGUUCAAUUGGUAGAGCACCGGUCUCCAAAACCGGGAGUUGUGAGUUCGAGUCUCUCCGCCCCUGCCA
rnacentral:tRNA from 1 species